CGCGUAGGCGGCUUCAUAAGUCAGGGGUGAAAUCCGGCAGCUUAACUGUCGCAGUGCCUUUGAUACUGUGGAGCUCGAGGGAGGUAGGGGUCUGUGGAACUUCCGGUGGAGCGGUGAAAUGCGUUGAUAUCGGAAGGAACGCCGGUGCGAAAGCGACGGACUGGAUCUCUUCUGACGCUGAGGCGCGAAAGCCAGGGGAGCAAACG
rnacentral:rRNA from 1 species